CGAUGAAACUUUAACAGAACCCUUCGGGGCGAAGAUAAAGUGGAUUAGCGGCGGACGGGUGAGUAACACGUGAGUAACCUGCCUUAGACAUUGGGAUAGCCUCGGGAAACCGGGAUUAAUACCAAAUAAAAUCAUAAUGACACAUGUCAUAACGAUCAAAACUCCGGUGGUCUAAGAUGGACUCGCGUCCCAUUAGCUAGUUGGUAGAGUAAAAGCCUACCAAGGCGACGAUGGGUAGCCGGCCUGAGAGGGUGAACGGCCACAUUGGAACUGAGAAACGGUCCAAACUCCUACGGGAGGCAGCAGUGGGGAAUAUUGCACAAUGGAGGGAACUCUGAUGCAGCGACGCCGCGUGAACGAAGAAGGCUUUCGAGUCGUAAAGUUCUUUUAUAUGGGAAGAUAAUGACGGUACCAUAAGAAAAAGCCCCGGCUAACUACGUGCCAGCAGCCGCGGUAAUACGUAGGGGGCUAGCGUUGUCCGGAAUCACUGGGCGUAAAGGGUUCGCAGGCGGAAAUGCAAGUCAGAUGUAAAAGGCAGUAGCUUAACUACUGUAAGCAUUUGAAACUGCAUAUCUUGAGAAGAGUAGAGGUGAGUGGAAUUUUUAGUGUAGCGGUGAAAUGCGUAGAUAUUAAAAAGAAUACCGGUGGCGAAGGCGACUUACUGGGCUCAUUCUGACGCUGAGGAACGAAGGCGUGGGUAGCAAACAGG
rnacentral:rRNA from 2 species